UUUCCGUAGGUGAACCUGCGGAAGGAUCAUUCAUAAUAAAGUGUUUUAUGGUACUUUUUAAAAAUCCAUAUCCACCUUGUGUGCAAUGUUAGAUCUCGUCAAUCUUGGCGAGAUUUUUAUACAUCAACUCAUUUUUUAAUUAAUUUGUCUGAAAAAUAUUAUGAAUACUUAAUUCAAAAUACAACUUUCAACAACGGAUCUCUUGGCUCUC
rnacentral:misc_RNA from 1 species